rnacentral:tRNA from 1 species
GAGGGUACCAGCUCAGUGGUAGAGCAUGUGCUUGGCAUGCAUGAGGUCCUGGGUUCAAUCCCCAGUAUCCCCA